UAUUAUUCGGAGAGUUUGAUUCUGGCUCAGAACGAACGCUGGCGGCGUGGAUUAGGCAUGCAAGUCGAACGGAGUGCUUAGCUGUUUCGAGCACUUAGUGGCGAAAGGGUGAG
rnacentral:rRNA from 1 species